UGUAAUGGCGGUUGUGCGCGGGAGACCUUCGGGUCUGCCGGUUAAGAGGUCCGGUCUGCUAACCCGCGUACAGCCGCCACCCUU
rnacentral:antisense_RNA from 1 species